rnacentral:rRNA from 1 species
UACGGAGGGUGCGAGCGUUGUCCGGAAUCAUUGGGCGUAAAGGGCGCGUAGGUGGCGGGACAAGCGUGCGGUGAAAGCCUGGGGCUCAACCUCGGGUCGGCCGUGCGAACUGUUUUGCUUGAGCACUGUAGAGGCAGGCGGAAUUCCGGGUGUAGCGGUGGAAUGCGUAGAGAUCCGGAAGAACACCGGUGGCGAAGGCGGCCUGCUGGGCAGUAGCUGACACUGAGGCGCGACAGCGUGGGGAGCAAACAGG